UACGGGGGGAGCAAGCGUUGUUCGGAUUUACUGGGCGUAAAGGGCGCGUAGGCGGUCAGCACAAGUCAGUUGUGAAAGUCUCCGGGCUUAACCCGGAAAGGUCAACUGAUACUGUGCGACUAGAGUGCGGAAGGGGCAACUGGAAUUCUCGGUGUAGCGGUGAAAUGCGUAGAUAUCGAGAGGAACACCUGCGGCGAAGGCGGGUUGCUGGGCCGACACUGACGCUGAUGCGCGAAAGCCAGGGGAGCGAACGGG
rnacentral:rRNA from 1 species